GCGAUGCAUUAGCUAGUUGGUAAGGUAACGGGCGUUACCAAGGCGAUGAUGCAUAGCCCGAGUUGAGAGACUGAUCGGGCCGACAUUGGGGGCUGAGACACGGGCCCAAACUCCUACGGGAGGCAGCAGUAGGGAAUCUUCCACAAUGGACGAAAAGUCUGAUGGAGCAAACGCCGCGUGAGUGAAGAAGGUUUUCGGAUCGUAAAGCUCUGUUGUUGGUGAAGAAGGAUAGAGGUAGUAACUGGCCCUUUAUUUGACGGUAAUCAACCAGAAAGUCACGGGCUAACUACGUGCCAGCAGCCGCGGUAAAU
rnacentral:rRNA from 1 species